rnacentral:rRNA from 1 species
AGAGUUUGAUCAUGGCUCAGAAMGAACGCUGGCGGCAGGCCUAACACAUGCAAGUCGAGCGCUUCACUUCGGUGAGGAGCGGCGGACGGGUUAGUAACGCGUGGGAAUAUACCCAGUUCUAAGGAAUAGCCACUGGAAACGGUGAGUAAUACCUUAUACGCCCUUCGGGGGAAAGAUUUAUCGGAAUUGGAUUAGCCCGCGUUAGAUUAGAUAGUUGGUGAGGUAACGGCUCACCAAGUCUACGAUCUAUAGCUGGUUGAGAGGAUGA